UACGGAGGGUGCAAGCGUUGUUCGGAAUCACUGGGCGUAAAGCGCGUGUAGGCGGCCCCUUAAGUCUGGUGUGAAAGCCCGGGGCUUACCCCCGGAAGGGCACUGGAGACUGGGAGGCUAGAGUACCGGAGAGGAGGGUGGAAUUCCUGGUGUAGCGGUGAAAUGCGUAGAUAUCAGGAGGAACACCGGUGGCGAAGGCGGCCCUCUGGACGGCUACUGACGCUGAGACGCGAAAGCGUGGGGAGCAAACAGG
rnacentral:rRNA from 1 species